rnacentral:rRNA from 1 species
GAAUCUGCCUAGAGGUUGGGGACAACCACUGGAAACGGUGGCUAAUACCCAAUGUGCCUAUUCGUGAAAGAUUUAUCGCCUCUAGAUGAGCUCGCGUCUGAUUAGCUAGUUGGUAGGGUAAAAGCCUACCAAGGCAUCGAUCAGUAGCUGGUCUGAGAGGAUGACCAGCCACACUGGGACUGAGACACGGCCCAGACUCUUACGGGAGGCAGCAGUGGGGAAUUUUCCGCAAUGGGCGAAAGCCUGACGGAGCAAGACCGCGUGAGGGAGGAAGGCUCUUGGGUCGUAAACCUCUUUUGUCAGGGAAGAACACAAUGACGGUACCUGACGAAUCAGCCUCGGCUAACUCCGUGCCAGCAGCCGCGGUAAUACGGAGGAGGCAAGCGUUAUCCGGAAUUAUUGGGCGUAAAGCGUCCGUAGAUGGUCGCUUCAAGUCUGCUGUCAAAGACCGGGGCUUAACCCCAGAAAGGCAGUGGAAACUGAACAGCUAGAGAGAGGUAGGGGUAGAGGGAAUUCCCAGUGUAGCGGUGAAAUGCGUAGAUAUUGGGAAGAACAUCAGUGGCGAAAGCGCUCUACUGGACCUUAUCUGACAUUGAGGGACGAAAGCUAGGGGAGCG